ensembl:lncRNA
GAAGGGAUGUGCAAAUGUUUAACAUAACUUUAGUUUUUUGUGAAUGGAUAAAUGUUGGAUAAAAAUCUGUGGUCAUACUUUCUUCAGGACUGGGUGUGAUUGGACAAACUUUCUGUAGCAGUGGGUGGGAUUGGUCAGACUUUCUGUAGAAGUGGGCGGGAUUGGUCAGACUUUCUGUAGGAGUGGGCAGGAUUUGUCAGACUUUCCGUAAGAGUGGGCGGGAUUGGUCAGACUUGCUGUAGGAGUGGGCGGGAUUGGACAAAAUAGGUCAAACUUUCUGUAGAAGUGGGCAGGACUUGUCAGACUUUCUGUAGGAGUGGGCGGGAUUGGUCAGACUUUCUGUAGGAGUUGGCAGGAUUGGUUAGACUUUCUGUAGGCGGAAUUAAAUAAAGAAAAAACGGUUCUGCACUCACCUCUAAUUUGAUCUAUAUCAGUACAGUAAAUAUAGUAUUGUAGGCCACUAAGAGAUUCUCCCACUCCUCUCCAGACCUGAAAAAAGCUUUGGUGCUUCCUCCAAAUAAGUCUAAAAGAGGACCAGUUGUCUUUUCAUCCAAGAACCCAGAGAAGAGCUUGUUUUCACACUGCCUGUUCAGGACCUGAGGAAUGCAUCGUCUAAAAAAAAACCCCUC